UUUUUUUAUUGCAACAGAAGUAAGUCACACAAAAAUGUUGACCAGGGUUCUAAAAAUAGGGAAUGAUUUUAGAAGGCCCUAGGAAUUAGAAUCACUCCAUUUGGAGUUGAUUUGGAAGCUAUAGGAAUUUGAAAGGUGGGACAUUCAUAUCCAUAUUUGGAUUUUGAGUAAUAACACUACAGAAAAUCUUCUUGGAAAAAUGUGCAAAGCACAUAUGUGGAUAC
rnacentral:lncRNA from 1 species